CACAUCUCGCUGCAGGUUCUGUCGUCAUCUGAAUUUUACAUCUGGCAAGGUCAUCCUUGAAAGAGCAAUGUCCUUUUGGGCUGCCCCUUCUCAAGCUCGCUUUCCUGUUGUCUCUUAAGAAGAAAAAAGUCAAACCCUUGCCCUGCCCCUGGGCCACACGUGUGAUCAGCGAGUGUUGUUUCUGCCCCAAGCUCACCUUAUUUCUCCAGCCUCCAGAGACUUGAUGCUUCUGUUUGGCGUCUAUUUUUAGUGCCUCUGGGUGAAUGUCAUUGCCGCCGGAGGCUGACAUUUCAUACUCUGGGAACCUUGACCUGCUGCUUUUCCGGUUGUGAGCUGACCCUGCUUUUUUAUGCCCCAGAAGGAAAGAACAACGAUCAUUAACAAUCAGCAUCUUCUGGAAAAUCGGAAACGGAGCCUCCGUGAUCCGAGGCUGCCCUUAACCUCGGCUGUGCUGCCUGCAGUGGCCACCACAUGGCUCAUCUCCAGAAGGCUCCGCGGCUGCCAGGGUGACACGCUGGGGCCACCAGCCGUGUCAAAGCAGGGAAAGCGCAGUCGGUGCCGGGCUGGGAACCAUGGCCAGGGGUGGAGGAGGGUGAGGCGGAGUGAUAAAAACUCGGUGGAGAAAGCUGCUCUAACCAGGAGCCUCGCUGGAGCGGACAGAGGGUGGCAGCCCCUCCCCCGGCAGCCCAAGACAAACAGGGCGGCAGGAAGUUCCCACGCUCCCAGGGCUGGCACCCAGAGCCUCUGCAGUCACCUGCUGGGGGCUGGAGCUGCCAGGAGGAGGAGGGCGGGGCCUCAGCCGCCCACAGGUGAGCCUGGAGCCCUGCGGCCAGGGGGUGGGGCCAGCUGGAGCACAUCUGCUGAGCUCCUACUAGGAGCCAAGCACCUUGCGAACGCCGUCUCCCCGCGAGCCCUCACAAAAAUCCUACCAAACUAACAUUAAGCUUUGCAUUUCACAGAAUAGGAACCUGGGACCCGGAGAGGUGAAGUGAUAUCCUCGGGCCACCCAGCCCCGAAAGGGAAGAAUCAGGAUCUUGGACUCAGGCCCCUCUGGCUUCAAAGUCUGUGCUUUUUAGCCUUGUUGUGUAUCCACUCGGCAAACCUUUGCUGAAACCCUACCGCGUGCCAGGCUCUCAGCUUUGGCCCCAGGGCUGACCUUGUAUCCCGUAUCCCAGGGGGUAGGGCUGUCCCUUCCCUUUAGUGACAUCGAUCAAGGGGCAGACCUUCUCCUUCUUGUCACCCAGCACAGUGCCUGCAUGUAGCAGGUGCAUUGGAAGAGCCAGCCGAAUGACUGGGGCCAUGGCCAGGUCAGCAGCUGUCACUCCUGCCUGGGGGACAGAAGCUUCUGAGGCCCCCUGGGCCUUCAGGUCUCAGAGGACCCCUCACAGCUGCCUCCCAGGGACCACACUUCUGCUGGUCCCUCCUCCACCCCCAGACAGGGAACCAUCCAUGCCAGUGUGGGAGCCACCUCGGAGUCCACGGUUAUGACAAGGCGAGGCCAGGAUGAGAGGCACAUUUCAGGUGGGCAUUUGGGGCAGGUGGCAGCUGUUGGAGGCUGUCCUCCUCUCCAGGCCCCCAGCCAGGACACCAGUGUGACACUUAUGGCCCCUCUCACCUCUCGGAUUCUAGAACCUCGAGGUCAGGAACCACGACGUAGCCUACGCUCAGGAACGACCUGUCCUCCGAGGGCCGGCUUCCGCUUUCCUGCAGGUACGGGGAGUUAGGGCACAGCCCUGCCCACUCACUUUUCCACUGCCCGCCUACCUCUGGACCCGCCCAUCUGUUUAUCAUCCUUCUAGCCAACACCUCCAUCACCUGCCCGAAGGUACGCAGCUAUUCCAGCAGGCUACCCGAUGAGCACGCAGGCGUCCAUCCUGCCAUCCGACCACCGUUCCACCUGUUCACCCACCAGCAUCCUCCAUCCAUCGUCCAUCAAC
ensembl:lncRNA